AGGCAGGGAGGAUCGGGGUGCUAGCCGUACCCCAAACUGGAAAUCGGCUUUAUGCCAGGAUCAGUAACUGUCGGGUAAAUCCGCUGGCAGGGGGCACCUGCUUGUCCUGCUGAAAUGAAAUCAUGCCGUGCUGGAUGGUUAUGAGCGGCGAUCCCUGCGAAGGCUGGGUCUCGACCGCGAAUCGCCGAAAGGGGUGAGGUCCGGGAGGGAGCAACCCUAAGGCGUCGUAACCCUGCUAGCACGUCUACGUGGUGGAUCUUGCAGGGCCUGAGAUGGGACCUUUUGUCAACGGUGGUACCGACAGGCUGCCU
rnacentral:SRP_RNA from 1 species